CCUACGGGAGGCAGCAGUGGGGGAUAUUGCACAAUGGGGGGAACCCUGAUGCAGCGACGCCGCGUGGGUGAAGGAGCGUUUCGGCGCGUAAAGCCCUAUCGGCAGGGAAGAAGGAGGACGGUACCUGACUAAGAAGCCCCGGCUAACUACGUGCCAGCAGCCGCGGUAAUACGUAGGGGGCAAGCGUGAUCCGGAUUUACUGGGUGUAAAGGGGGCGCAGACGGCAGCGCAAGCCAGGAGGGAAAGCCCGGGGACCAACCCCGGGACUGCUCUUGGAACGGCGCGGCUGGAGUGCAGGAGGGGCAGGCGGAAUGCCUGGUGUAGCGGUGAAAGGCGUAGAUAUCAGGAGGAACACCGGUGGCGAAGGCGGCCUGCUGGACUGCGACUGACGUUGAGGCCCGAAAGCGUGGGGAGCAAACAGGAUUAGAUACCCUGGUAGUC
rnacentral:rRNA from 1 species